rnacentral:rRNA from 1 species
AACGAACGCUGGCGGCGCGCCUAAUACAUGCAAGUCGAGCGAGAAGACGUAGCAAUACGUUUGUAAAGCGGCGAACGGGUGAGGAAUACAUGGGUAACCUACCCUCGAGUGGGGAAUAACUAGCCGAAAGGUUAGCUAAUACCGCGUACGCUCCUUGGACUUCGGUUCAGGGAGGAAAGCGAUACCGUGGGUAUCGCGCUCUUGGAGGGGCUCAUGUCCUAUCAGCUUGUUGGUGAGGUAACGGCUCACCAAGGCUUCGACGGGUAGCUGGUCUGAGAGGACGAUCAGCCACACUGGCACUGCGACACGGGCCAGACUCCUACGGGAGGCAGCAGUAAGGAAUAUUGCGCAAUGGGCGAAAGCCUGACGCAGCGACGCCGCGUGGGGGA